rnacentral:rRNA from 1 species
ACGGAGGGUGCGAGCGUUAAUCGGAAUUACUGGGCGUAAAGCGCGCGCAGGUGGUUCGUUAAGUCAGGUGUGAAAUCCCCGGGCUUAACCUCGGAAUUGCACUUGAGACUGGCGGACUGGAGUGCUGCAGAGGGGGGUGGAAUUUCAGGUGUAGCAGUGAAAUGCGUAGAGAUGUGAAGGAACACCGAUGGCGAAGGCAGCCCCCUGGACCGAUACUGACGCUCA